rnacentral:rRNA from 1 species
GACGUAGGGGGCCAGCGUUGUUCGGAAUUACUGGGUGUAAAGGGUUCGUAGGCGGUGCGGCAAGUUGGGAGUGAAAUCUCUGGGCUUAACCCAGAGGCUGCUUCCGAAACUGCUGUGCUUGAGUGUGGGAGAGGCGCGUGGAAUUGCAGGUGUAGCGGUGAAAUGCGUAGAUAUCUGGAGGAAUACCGGUGGCGAAGGCGGCAUCCUGGACCGACAUUGACGCUGAACGGCGAAAGCUAGGGGAGCAAACGGG